UACGGAGGGUGCAAGCGUUAUCCGGAUUUACUGGGUUUAAAGGGUGCGUAGGUGGGUCUGUAAGUCAGUGGUGAAAUCUCCGGGCUUAACCCGGAAACUGCCAUUGAUACUAUAGAUCUUGAAUAUCCUGGAGGUGAGCGGAAUAUGUCAUGUAGCGGUGAAAAUGCUUAGAUAUACAUAGAACACCAAUUGCGAAGGCAGCUGGCUACACAAAAU
rnacentral:rRNA from 1 species